rnacentral:rRNA from 1 species
AUUGAACGCUAGCGGCAUGCCUAACACAUGCAAGUCGAACGAGUGGCGGACGGGUGAGUAAUGUCUGGGAAACUGCCUGUUGGAGGGGGAUAACUACUGGAAACGGUAGCUAAUACCGCAUACCAUCGGAUGUGCCCAGAUUGGAUUAGCUAGUAGUUGGGGUAAAGGCUCACCUAGGCGACGAUCCCUAGCUGGUCUGAGAGGAUGACCAGCAACACUGGAACUGAGACACGGUCCAGACUCCUACGGGAGGCAGCAGUGGGGAAUAUUGGACAAUGGGCGAAAGCCUGAUGCAGCCAUGCCGCGUGUAUGAAGAAGGCCUUCGGGUUGUAAAGUACUUUCAGCGGGGAGGCGUUACCCGCAGAAGAAGCACCGGCUAACUCCGUGCCAGCAGCCGCGGUAAUUC